GGAGCGGUGUCCGAGUGGUUGAAGGAGGCGGUCUUGAAAACCGUUGUGCCGCGAGGUACCGGGGGUUCGAAUCCCCCCUGCUCCG
rnacentral:tRNA from 1 species